rnacentral:rRNA from 1 species
UACAGAGGGUGCGAGCGUUAAUCGGAAUAACUGGGCGUAAAGGGCGCGUAGGCGGCUUAGUAAGUCGGAUGUGAAAGCCCCGGGCUUAACCUGGGAAUUGCAUUCGAUACUGCUGGGCUAGAGUAUGGUAGAGGGAAGCGGAAUUCCGGGUGUAGCGGUGAAAUGCGUAGAUAUCCGGAGGAACAUCAGUGGCGAAGGCGGCUUCCUGGACCAAUACUGACGCUGAGGUGCGAAAGCGUGGGUAGCGAACAGG